rnacentral:lncRNA from 1 species
CAUAAACCUGAAAAUUGUAUUUAUAUAGUAGGUAUAGAAAACAAAGGCAGAUUACAGGUAGAUCGAAAUAUCAAAUACCGAACAAGGUUAACUGAUAACAACAUGCUACGGCACACAGGACCUAACUAACCUUACCAGUGAUAUACCUCCCGAUUUUCAACUACUUUUGUACACCUAAUAUAUACGAAACCUUUUCAGCGUGGGUGCUAAAACAAGCGAGAACAUUUGAUUUGGUGGUCUUCUUUGAGCUUCGUCCUCUCAUCUCUUGACUAGUACACACGCUGCUAUGUCGAGGACAAACUGUUACAGUUUUCUGGAGGUGCAUAAGGGCAGUUCCGCUGCUGAUAUGGGUGAUAUAUAACUGCAACAGUCAUCAAUAACACAGGUUAGCCAACACUGAGCGCUACUGCAAAGUUUUUCAUAUGUGGUCCUUUCGAGAGAAAAAUAUGGUUGAUCAGGUAAUCCAUGGUCCCUUUUGACAUAUUCAGGCACCAUCAAUAAUGUCAAUUGCCAUGCUAACUGUUCUAGCUAAGUCUAGCCUUCAGAUAAAAAGAAGGUUGGCAGGAACCAAAAGCAAACAAAGGCAAGGGAAGUCAAUCAACAUUAUACAUGGAAAUAACCAUGUCCUGGGAGCUCUUACUUUAACUCAAAUAUAACUUUCGUUAUUCAUCUGGAUGGAACUCAAUGAACUUUUGAUUUUGUCCAACUACUAAUCAGUGACAAAAUGCCUUUUUUUUAGCUGAGGGGAGAUUCGGUAUGAUCACCUUGUCUUUGGUCUAGAACAAGGAUCCGAUGGCGAAGAUCUGACAUUGCGGCACAACGCAACUCUGAUGUCUGACAGCAGUAAAAGAGCUGGUAAAGGAAAACAAACUCAUUCAAUUCUAUGAAAUUACUUGGAAAAAGAAGAGCUACUAGACUCAAUGAGAGUGGAAUAUGCUGCAAAACUGACAGAGUAUAAGAUUGACUGAACAUGGUUAAGAAAGGAGUAGUAAUCUGCCUUUUCAUACAGCCCAGAUAACCAGAUACUACCGAAUAUCAUGUUAAACAACAGUAUCAUUUACAUGAUCGCAAACUUGUGGUAAAAGAUUAUGAUAUAGUAACAGAUGCUUUCAGCAAUCAGACUGCUGUCGAAUAACAGAAAACAGUCAUUCUGUUUAUUAAGCAGGAAACACUAAUGUUUAGGUGUGAAAAGUAGCUACUGUACCUCAUAAUUAAGUACUCCCUCCGUUCCUAAAUAUUUGUCUUUCUAGAGAUUUCAAUAAAUGACUACAUACGGAUGUAUAUAGGCAUAUUUUAGAGUGUAGAUUCACUCAUUUUGCUCUGUAUGUAGUCACUUGUUGAAAUCUCUAGAAAGACAAAUAUUUAGGAACGGAGGGAGUAGAUUCUAUAAUUAGAACCACAUGAAAUUGUUAGAUGGCUACAGUUAAACCGUCCACAAAAAAUAUCUUCUUCUCCUUGAGGUGCAAAUAGAUAGUGGUGCUUUCAAAAUGUCACUUAACUUGUAUGAGAAC